rnacentral:rRNA from 1 species
CAUCAUGGCCCUUACGAGCAGGGCUACAAACGUGCUACAAUGGCGCAUACAGAGGGCAGCAAGCUAGCGAUAGUGAGCGAAUCCCAAAAAGUGCGUCGUAGUCCGGAUUGGAGUCUGCAACUCGACUCCAUGAAGUCGGAAUCGCUAGUAAUCGUAGAUCAGAAUGCUACGGUGAAUACGCUCCCGGGCGUUGUACACACCGCCCGUCACACCAUGGGAGUGGGCUGCAAAAGAAGUGGGUAGUUUAACCUUUCGGGGAGGACGCUCACCACUUUGUGGUUCAUGACUGGGGUGAAGUCGUAACAAGGUAGCCCUAGGGGAACCUGGGGCUGGAUCACCUCCUUAUACGAAGAUA